rnacentral:lncRNA from 1 species
AGCAUCUCUCGUCCAGAUGGUUUCAACUGCCUACCUCUCCUCUCCAUUUUCAUUUUUGCCACCACACAAUCCAUUUCCGCUAGAACUACUCAGAUCAUGUCGUUCCCCCACUCUAAACGCUUCAGCAGCUUCCUACAGCUCUUCGACUACAAUCCAAACUUCCUGUGAGGCCCUGCACAGCCACUCUGCUUCAGCUCCUCUCAGAUCGUGCCCUACUCUCCUGACACACGGGCUUCCUCUCUGUCCCUGCAAGAAGGCAAGCCCAGUGCCAACUCAGAACACAGCAUUUGUCACUCUUCAUGACCACAUUCAUGGUGCUUUGCACACUGUGGCACUUGGAAGGAAGGCACAGACUCAGAAGAGAGAUUUAAUCAUGAAGCUUGGUGGUCGUUUUAAUGUAGCUGCUCUUAGAAGGCUUUUCUGUGGACUAUGGAAACUCCAUCAUGAGAAGCAAGAUAAUCCUUACAAAACAUCCAUUCAUUCUACAAGUGAAAAUUUCAGGAAUACUCGACACUGGCCUUGGCAAGACUAAUGGACCGAGAUUGAGUGAUGGAUUUGUGUGUGUUGUGGCUGACGUGUGUUUUGGUGUUUUGUAUGCUAGUUUAAGAAUAUUUUAGCAUUAGAAGAUUUAUGACAUUUUAAUUAAUGAAUACGAUGAAGGCUUAAACUUGUAGAUGAAAUUAUAAGAUACAAUAUUUUUGUAGCUUAUUUUUGAGCACAAACUUGAUUGUUUUUGUUGCUUUAAGAAAGGACCUGCUGAUAAUGUUAGCUUUCUUUUCUGUUUCAGUGUGACCACUUUAACUGAUAUGUAAGCCAUUACUUUUUAAGGGAAAUAAAAUGAGGCAAUACAGCCUAGUGAAAAGGACACACAGUAUCAGAUUCUUAAUUGCUAAAUUAAAUUUGGGCUCUUACUUGAUUUCUGCUAUGAACUGGCUGCACGACUUUGAAUAAGUUAUUAAGUUCCCCUUUAAAAAAUAUAAAAUUGGAAUGAGAAAUAUGUGAUAGUGAAAAAUAUUUGUGAAAGUGUUUUAAAGUCCCAUGAAGAAAGCACAAUCAGAAACCACAGUUGGGUUGGCUAUUUCACUGAAAAUAAUCUGAUCUUGUCAGUAAACCUAAAUUUUAGUAAGAUUGGUUUAUUUUUUUUAAGCCAUUUAAUUUCAGAUGCUUAGGAACUCUUCAAUUUGUUAAUGGAAAGAAACGCUGUAUACACCGGAUGGCUA